rnacentral:misc_RNA from 1 species
GCUUUAUUUCAUCAAACUAUCAAUUGUCAGUGGUGAGUUGGCGAAUGUUCUAAAAAGAUAAAGUUAUGUUUUCUUCCGUAUUUUCUCUCUUUGAUCCUGCCCCAAGGGAGAAGGGAAUAGCAUACCUGUAAACAAUGACCGCCAUAUCUAGGAAUAGUUUCUCCUCCGAGAAACACUGCCAUGUCCAGAAACCCCUGAACUACCACUUCGUCCCAUAGAAAAACUUCCAUAGGCCCCAUAAGCA